AGGAAGCACCGGCUAACUCCGCGCCAGCAGCCGCGGUAAUACGGGGGGUGCAAGCGUUGUUCGGAAUUAUUGGGCGUAAAGCGCGUGUAGGCGGUUUGUUUAGUCUGAUGUGAAAGCCCUGGGCUCAACCCAGGAAGUGCAUUGGAAACUGGCAGACUUGAAUACGGGAGAGGGUAGUGGAAUUCCUAGUGUAGGAGUGAAAUCCGUAGAUAUUAGGAGGAACACCGGUGGCGAAGGCGGCUGCCUGGACCGAUAUUGACGCUGAGACGCGAAAGCGUGGGUAGCAAACAGGAUUAGAUACCCUGGUAGUCCACGCCGUAAACGAUGAGUACUAGGUGUUGCGGGUAAAUCG
rnacentral:rRNA from 1 species